UGUAAAUAAGAAUUUGUUCUUAACUGACUUGCCUAGUUAAAUAAAGGUUAAAAAAAAAAAGUCAGCACAUAAGGGACCACACUAGGGUUACUGAUCAUUCACACAGAGACAAGAACACAAGUCAAGACCAACUACAACCGAAGGGCUUUGAAUAUAUACACUGCUCAAAAAAAUAAAGGGAACACAACACAAUGUAACUCCAAGUCAAUCACACUUCUGUGAAAUCAAACUGUCCACUGAGGAAGCAACACUGAUUGACAAUAAAUUUCACAUGCUGUUGUGCAAAUGGAAUAGACAACAGGUGGAAAUUAUAGGCAUUUAGCAAGACACCCCCAAUAAAGGAGUGGUUCUGCAGGUGGGGCCCACAGACCAUUUCUCAAUUCCUAUGUUUCCUGGCUGAUGUUUUGGUCACUUUUGAAUGCUGGCGGUGCUUUCACUCUAGUAGUAGCAUGAGUGGUAGCAAUUCUAGUGGUCAUGGAAGUGUGCUACUACCUUUGUUCAAGAAAGUAAGACUGAAAGCAGACCGGUUACCUGAACAGUAGAUGUUCAUGUAGUUUAAGAUGUUUGCCAAACAUGCCAAACAAUGUAUACCUUAAAGACCUACCCCAGUCUCAUUUUCACCUAAUUUACUUGUGACACAGCCUGGAUUUGAACCAGGGACUGUAAUGAUGCCUCUUGCACUGACAUGCAGUGCCUUAGACUUAGAUCUUAGGCUGCGUCACUCAGGAGCCCUGUUUGUAAAUGAUCGGCGCCUCUAGAUUGUUCUGCCUCCUAAACAUAGGCUGUCAGUUUUUUUCACUUUAUCUAAGUGUGUUCACUCCUUCAUGAACAAGUUGAAAAGAUGUCUCCAUCUUAUUUAAUCUUCAUUUGUAUGGCUGCUGUUGCAGUUAAAGAAAGUUGUGCAGAUUCUGUCCCUACUCCCACCAUUGUGUUAGACCCUGGGUUCAUCAAUGUAGCUAUGCCAGUCGUAGUACGCUGUGAGUCAACAAGAGGCACAAAGUGCCACUUCUACAAAGACCACGACCCCAACCCAAUAAGAGAAGUGAAUUCCGGUGUUUGCCAAUUCAUAUUGUUCUGGAAUGAGUUCAAAAAGUGGAACAAGACUGAAGUAGAUCUCAGCUGUGCUAUUCUACAGAAGAGAGAUGGGAAAACGAUAUCUUCAGAACGAAGUGACACUCGAAGACUUCAUGUGAGUGAUCCCAUUGGAAUACCCAGGAUUUUUGUGGAAAAUACAGGAACUUACUUAAGUCUUCGGUGUGAGGCCAAGCAUGCUGGUACCUCAUGCUACUAUUACUUGAACAACACUGAGUCCCCCUUUAAAAGUCAGCCCUACAAAGACAAUGUCUGUGUUGGGAAAGUAUCGGAAAAGGAUCUGCUGAGGAAGAGGAGCAGUGCUGGAGAGAUCUUCAUCACCUGUGCUGUGGAGCUGGUGGUAGAGGGUGGAGAUACUGUGACAUCACAGCAUAGUGAACCGUUCAAGAUUGCCAUAGAUGACUCUCCUGGGCCCACCACUUCCUUAUCAACAUUCAGUACCAAUAAAACCAGUGUAACUAAUGGAGAAGUCAUCGACCCCUUUAGAGUCCUCCUCGGAGUUCCCCCUCUACAUCAGUCUGAGUUUUGGGGCCUUUAGCCUUAUUCUGCUGGUUGUAUCUGUCCUGUGUUUUCUCCGGUACAAGCGAGGUAUAUGCAUUCAAACACUGAUACUUCAAGGCUUAAUUUGUUCCAAUGUCCAUUUUGAGUUAUUUGUGUAUUAUACAUGUGAAAUCGGGGCUGGUUUAAUCUAUUAUCUAUUAUUUAUUUCUGAAGGUGAUCAACAAGACUGGUCUGCCAAUAGAUCCCAAUGGAACCAGAACAAAGAAGUUAUCUAUGCAAAUGCUUAAUUAUUUCAACAAGGCGGUCUGAAUGUGGGGGAUGUGACCAUGCUGCAUUGUACUAGUUCAAGUGUAAGUGGUAACAGUUCACCUGUUGAUGAACUCCCUCCACAUCCUUUCUCUGCUUCCUGAUUUACAUAUCUGCCACUCUCUGCUCUUCAUGUAGUCUGACACCCUCUGUUCCUCUCAGAUGAAUGGUGUAAUAUCUUACUGGGCAAGAAAUAGAUGUGCAUAGGUUUUAAGACAUGAUCUAUUUGAAGUUUCACAUUGUUUGUAUAUAAGGGUAAAUACCCGUGUUCUUUUAUUGCCUUGUCUUUUUUUAACGCUUUUGUUAUUUUAUUACUCUUUUUUUAUCAACUUUGUAUAUUGAUAGUUUUGCUACUCUACAUUUAUUCUGCACUUUUGAGGAAGAGCUGAAAGUAAGCAUUUCACUGUGCCAUUCCACCUUCUGUGCAUGUGACAAAUAAACAUUGAUUUAAUGUGUAGAUUGUGUAGAUUAGUUUUAACAUACUGGCAUACAAUUUUCCUAUUCUGUACAGCUUUUAAUAUGUAACUCUGU